UACGUAGGGAGCGAGCGUUAUCCGGAUUUAUUGGGUGUAAAGGGUGCGUAGGCGGCUUUUUAGGUCUAAGGUUUAAGCCCGGAGCUUAACUCCGGUUCGCCUUAGAAACCGAUUGGCUUGAGUAUGGUAGAGGCAAGUGGAAUUUCUAGUGUAGCGGUAAAAUGCGUAGAUAUUAGAAGGAACACCAGUGGCGAAGGCGACUUGCUGGGCCAUUACUGACGCUGAGGCACGAAAGCGUGGGGAGCAAACAGG
rnacentral:rRNA from 1 species